GUGUCAGCCGCCGCGGUAAGACGAACCGUCCAAACGUUAUUCGGAAUCACUGGGCUUAAAGGGUGCGUAGGCGGCACUGCAAGUUGGGUGUGAAAGCCCUCGGCUCAACCGAGGAAUUGCGCCCAAAACUGCCGCGCUCGAGGGAGACAGAGGUGAGCGGAACUUAGGGUGGAGCGGUGAAAUGCGUUGAUAUCAUCAGGAACACCAGUGGCGAAAGCGGCUUACUGGGUCUCUUCUGACGCUGAGGUACGAAAGCUAGGGGAGCGAACGGGAUUAGAUACCCCGGUAGUCCUAGCUGUAAACGCUGAGCACUUGAUCGAGGAUCCCCCCAUAGGUUCUCGGUCGUAGCGAAAGUGGUAAGUGCUCCGCCUGGGGAGUAUGGUCGCAAGGCUGAAACUCAAAGCAAUUGACGGGG
rnacentral:rRNA from 1 species